GAUGAACGCUGGCGGCGUGCCUAAUACAUGCAAGUCGAGCGAACAGACGAGGAGCUUGCUCCUCUGACGUUAGCGGCGGACGGGCGAGUAACACGUGGAUAACCUACCUAUAAGACUGGGAUAACUUCGGGAAACCGGAGCUAAUACCGGAUAAUAUAUUGAACCGCAUGGUUCAAUAGUGAAAGACGGUUUUGCUGUCACUUAUAGAUGGAUCCGCGCCGCAUUAGCUAGUUGGUAAGGUAACGGCUUACCAAGGCAACGAUGCGUAGCCGACCUGAGAGGGUGAUCGGCCACACUGGAACUGAGACACGGUCCAGACUCCUACGGGAGGCAGCAGUAGGGAAUCUUCCGCAAUGGGCGAAAGCCUGACGGAGCAACGCCGCGUGGGUGAUGAAGGUCUUCGGAUCGUAAAACUCUGUUAUUAGGGAAGAACAAAUGUGUAAGUAACUAUGCACGUCUUGACGGUACCUAAUCAGAAAGCCACGGCUAACUACGUG
rnacentral:rRNA from 1 species